UAAUUGUUAUUGCUGUCAGAGGGCGUCAUUAAACUUUUGGUUCCAGUGGUAGGUUUUGAACGGUUGGUUGAUCUGGUAUUUCUCUAUUUUAAUAUUGGCAUUGUGACGAAGUUGUUGUAGUUCGAGCAAGGCCAUCGGUUUUAGGCAUCUGCGGUAGGCUAUUUUAUGACGAUUCGGGAACUUUGUGUCUGGAAAAAGUCAACACCCCAGAAAAUCAGUCAUAACAAUUACUAUCCAAAGCUUCGAGCCCGAGGAAAAUCAUUUGAAAUCUUAUAUCUGUAAUGUAAUAACCGUUAGACGGACACAAAUAGUGAGUUGGUCGGUGUAAAGUCAACACGAACCAGAUUUGGAAAAUGGAACCAUAAACAGCACUUACGAC